rnacentral:tRNA from 1 species
GGAUUGUGGCUCAGCGGUAGAACGCUUGCCUAGCAUGUGUGAGGCCCUGGGUUUGAUCCUCAGCACCA